rnacentral:lncRNA from 1 species
CUAACAGGCCCUCCCUGGGGAGGCCAGAGUCUAAUGUGGGGCCCAAGCGUGUCCAGGGGAGGAGUGGGCAAUGCUGUGGUUGCCCCGGCAGCCCAGGGACCCAGGCAGGCCCCAAGGGCAGUGUGUUUGGGAUUAAAGUCCGAUGGUGGGGUGUGCUGGAGCCUAGCAGCUGCGGUUGGGAUCUACUCCAGGGGAGGAAUGGGGAAGCGAGCUCAGGAGAUUCCAGAGCGGAAGAGCAGAUGGGGCUCCAGAAGAAGCAUGAGUCUCACCCCCAGGGCUGGGGGCCAACGUGAAAGGCAAGGCCUGGGAGCCAGGAUUUGGACCAACCAACUGGCUCAAGUCUUCCAGGUUCACGAAACCGUCGUUUUCCUCAGUGGAUCAGGAGACGUUAGUAUUCCGGGGGCCAAUUUGAUAAGGGCCUGGCGUAGGUUUCAGGCCAUCCAAGGCCUUCUAGUGGAUCCGGUUGAUGCCUUUUUCUUAAGAAAUACAAAUCCGAGCCUUUGGCAGAGAUCUGGGUUGGGAGGGUGUGGGUCCUCCACUUCCUGGAGACUUUAAAGGACAGCGCCAGAGCUAACAUGGACCGGCACUUUAGUUCACUGUCCCAUGGUGACCUUUGCAGAGGUCACGUACCAAGCCCCCCUCAGCUCCUUCUCCACCCCUCCCUGCCACUCUCUUCUCCCCAAGUGUCCUCCUGAAGUUGCUCUGUGGCUCUCCCUGUUGUCCUGGAAGGUCCGUCCCUGUGAGCCCUGAAAGGCUGCGGGUUCCGGUACUGCCCAUCUGGUAUCUCCUCGCUGCCCAACCCACUUCGAUUUUGGCUAAAGGAGGAGUCCCAAGGGUGUGUGCUGGGAGGAUAUUGCUGGAACGAGGACCAGAAGUUCCAACUUUCAUUAUGAAACAAUCCCGUUCCUUCAUCUUCAGCUUCUCUUUCACAUUCUGUGGUGUUCUUUAAAUUGUUUGGGUUUUGGUCAUCUCUCUGUUCAUGGUCAUUCUGAGGGUGCUGGGGUUGAAGAUGGAAUUCUUUUCAAAUUCCUGGGCAGCCUCAGGGUGAACUCAGAAUUUCUGACUUGGUACAUGGCAGAGUGUGUGUAGGACACAGCCCCACUAUUGAGAUGUGUCCUUGACACACAGUCCACAAAAUCCAGACCUAGAAUUCAAACUCCAAAUCUGGUUUCCAGAGUCCCCUUUGCACCCACUUUUUUGGGUGAACUGAAAUCCCUUGAAAGCUCUCUCUCAGUUCUCACAGACACUACAUGGGAAGGCCGUGCUACAGUGCACUUGCUGCACUCCAUCCCCAGGAGAAGUCUUUGAUAGAGGCUGAGAUGAAAAUAUGGCAUUGACCGCUCAGGCUGUAAUGAGGCCAUCACUGGGUGACCGCUCCUACUAACCCUUUCCCCCCCCAAACAGCUGCUAGUAAGAAACCACAGGAAUAGAACAGAUCUCCCCAAGCCCCUGACACAUGGAAUCAUAACAGCAGACAAUGCAGUGGGUAGGACUUCAGUCCAGAUGGGGACAGCCUGCAUUCAGCUCUGGCUCACCCACUUGCUAGGUGUACUGCCUUCGCCUCAGGCUGCCCCUUGCUGAAAUGGGGAUGAUAAAGCCAUGCAUAACACAGUAUUAUUCUGAGGGUGACAUGAAACCACAAAGGUGAAAUACUUGGCAUGAAGGAAGUACUUGAUAAAUACUUUUAUUAUAUAAUAAUGAUAUAAUAAUUGCAGUAAUUAUUGAUACUCUCUUUGGAGUGGGCUUUAUGAUCUAUCAGGCAGGCUUCUUGAGAAUAUUUUGCUAAUUUUCUGUCAUAGGUCCCCAAAGUGACAUCUAUCCCAUGAGGUUAAUUUCCUUAAACUAAAGACUUUUGUUCUUUUUGUUUUUUUCGGAGGGGGAGAAUACUAG